rnacentral:rRNA from 1 species
GUACACAAAAAUGCACAUAUUGUGAGCUCGAUGAGUAGGGCGGGACACGUGGUAUCCUGUCUGAAUAUGGGGGGACCAUCCUCCAAGGCUAAAUACUCCUGACUGACCGAUAGUGAACCAGUACCGUGAGGGAAAGGCGAAAAGAACCCCGGCGAGGGGAGUGAAAAAGAACCUGAAACCGUGUACGUACAAGCAGUGGGAGCCUCUUUAUGGGGUGACUGCGUACCUUUUGUAUAAUGGGUCAGCGACUUAUAUUCUGUAGCAAGGUUAACCGAAUAGGGGAGCCGAAGGGAAACCGAGUCUUAACUGGGCGUUAAGUUGCAGGGUAUAGACCCGAAACCCGGUGAUCUAGCCAUGGGCAGGUUGAAGGUUGGGUAACACUAACUGGAGGACCGAACCGACUAAUGUUGAAAAAUUAGCGGAUGACUUGUGGCUGGGGGUGAAAGGCCAAUCAAACCGGGAGAUAGCUGGUUCUCCCCGAAAGCUAUUUAGGUAGCGCCUCGUGAAUUCAUCUCCGGGGGUAGAGCACUGUUUCGGCAAGGGGGUCAUCCCGACUUACCAACCCGAUGCAAACUGCGAAUACCGGAGAAUGUUAUCACGGGAGACACACGGCGGGUGCUAACGUCCGUCGUGAAGAGGGAAACAACCCAGACCGCCAGCUAAGGUCCCAAAGUCAUGGUUAAGUGGGAAACGAUGUGGGAAGGCCCAGACAGCCAGGAUGUUGGCUUAGAAGCAGCCAUCAUUUAAAGAAAGCGUAAUAGCUCACUGGUCGAGUCGGCCUGCGCGGAAGAUGUAACGGGGCUAAACCAUGCACCGAAGCUGCGGCAGCGACACUAUGUGUUGUUGGGUAGGGGAGCGUUCUGUAAGCCUGUGAAGGUGGCCUGUGAGGGUUGCUGGAGGUAUCAGAAGUGCGAAUGCUGACAUAAGUAACGAUAAAGCGGGUGAAAAGCCCGCUCGCCGGAAGACCAAGGGUUCCUGUCCAACGUUAAUCGGGGCAGGGUGAGUCGACCCCUAAGGCGAGGCCGAAAGGCGUAGUCGAUGGGAAACAGGUUAAUAUUCCUGUACUUGGUGUUACUGCGAAGGGGGGACGGAGAAGGCUAUGUUGGCCGGGCGACGGUUGUCCCGGUUUAAGCGUGUAGGCUGGUUUUCCAGGCAAAUCCGGAAAACCAAGGCUGAGGCGUGAUGACGAGGCACUACGGUGCUGAAGCGACAAAUGCCCUGCUUCCAGGAAAAGCCUCUAAGCAUCAGGUAACAUCAAAUCGUACCCCAAACCGACACAGGUGGUCAGGUAGAGAAUACCAAGGCGCUUGAGAGAACUCGGGUGAAGGAACUAGGCAAAAUGGUGCCGUAACUUCGGGAGAAGGCACGCUGAUAUGUAGGUGAAGCGACUUGCUCGUGGAGCUGAAAUCAGUCGAAGAUACCAGCUGGCUGCAACUGUUUAUUAAAAACACAGCACUGUGCAAACACGAAAGUGGACGUAUACGGUGUGACGCCUGCCCGGUGCCGGAAGGUUAAUUGAUGGGGUUAGCGGUAACGCGAAGCUCUUGAUCGAAGCCCCGGUAAACGGCGGCCGUAACUAUAACGGUCCUAAGGUAGCGAAAUUCCUUGUCGGGUAAGUUCCGACCUGCACGAAUGGCGUAAUGAUGGCCAGGCUGUCUCCACCCGAGACUCAGUGAAAUUGAACUCGCUGUGAAGAUGCAGUGUACCCGCGGCAAGACGGAAAGACCCCGUGAACCUUUACUA